CCAGGUGCACCAUUCUCAUUGUUGUCCACAAUCAUGUUGACGGACUUGGAGUCCUGUCCUGACUUCUUGUACUUGUUUGGGCACUUGUUGGCCCAAUGUUCAACCGAACCACAAGUAAAGCAGCCCUUGUCCUUCUUGUUCUUCUUGAAGGUCUUCUUACCCUUCUUCUUAAAGUCGGUAUUGUGUUGGACACCGUUCUUUCCCUUGGGCUUGUGGGAGUUGAAGUUCUUCUGGUUCACCAUGUUGGCGACAGAAGUCCCUUCGGCCCCUUUUUCGUGCGAGUCCUUUGCCCUUGAAUUCUGCUCAACACUCAGAUGGCCAAUGACAUCCUCCACAGAGAAUUCACGCCUCUGAUGUUUCAGAGUGGUGGCAAAGUUCCUCC
rnacentral:rRNA from 1 species